UACGAGGGGAGCAAGCGUUGUUCGGAUUUACUGGGCGUAAAGGGCGCGUAGGCGGCGCAACAAGUCACUUGUGAAAUCUCCGGGCUUAACCCGGAGCGGCCAAGUGAUACUGUCGUGCUAGAGUGCGGAAGGGGCUACUGGAAUUCUCGGUGUAGCGGUGAAAUGCGUAGAUAUCGAGAGGAACACCUGCGGCGAAGGCGGGUAGCUGGGCCGACACUGACGCUGAGGCGCGAAAGCAUGGGGAGCGAACAGG
rnacentral:rRNA from 1 species